rnacentral:rRNA from 1 species
UAGGGAAUUUUCGUCAAUGGGGGAAGCCCUGAACGAGCAAUGCCGCGUGUGUGAAGAAGGUCUUCGGAUCGUAAAGCACUGUUGUAAGUGAAGAAUGCCAUAUAGAGGAAAUGCUAUGUGGGUGACGGUAGCUUACCAGAAAGCCACGGCUAACUACGUGCCAGCAGCCGCGGUAAUACGUAGGUGGCAAGCGUUAUCCGGAAUCAUUGGGCGUAAAGGGUGCGUAGGUGGCACGAUAAGUCUGAAGUAAAAGGCAACAGCUCAACUGUUGUAUGCUUUGGAAACUGUCGAGCUAGAGUGCAGAAGAGGGCGAUGGAAUUCCAUGUGUAGCGGUAAAAUGCGUAGAUAUAUGGAGGAACACCAGUGGCGAAGGCGGUCGCCUGGUCUGUAACUGACACUGAUGCACGAAAGCGUGGGGAGCAAUAGGAUUAGAUACC